rnacentral:rRNA from 1 species
CCCCAGACUCCUACGGGAGGCAGCAGUGGGGAAUAUUGGGCAAUGGGGGAAACCCUGACCCAGCAACGCCGCGUGAAGGAAGAAGGCCUUCGGGUUGUAAACUUCUUUUACCAGGGACGAAGAACGUGACGGUACCUGGAGAAAAAGCCACGGCUAACUACGUGCCAGCAGCCGCGGUAAUACGUAGGGGGCAAGCGUUAUCCGGAUUCACUGGGUGUAAAGGGAGCGUAGACGGCGACGCAAGUCUGGAGUGAAAGCCCGGGGCCCAACCCCGGGACUGCUCUGGAAACUGCGUCGCUGGAGUACGGGAGGGGCAGGCGGAAUUCCUGGUGUAGCGGUGAAAUGCGUAGAUAUCAGGAGGAACACCGGCGGCGAAGGCGGCCUGCUGGACCGUGACUGACGUUGAGGCUCGAGAGUGUGGGGAGCAAACAGGAUUAGAUACCCUUGUA